UACAGAGGGGGCAAGCGUUGUUCGGAAUUACUGGGCGUAAAGGGCGCGUAGGCGGCCUUCUAAGUCGAACGUGAAAUCCCCGGGCUCAACCCGGGAACUGCGUCCGAUACUGGAAGGCUUGAAUCCGGGAGAGGGAUGUGGAAUUCCAGGUGUAGCGGUGAAAUGCGUAGGAUAUCUGGAGGAACACCGGGUGGCGAAGGCGGGUCUGCUGG
rnacentral:rRNA from 1 species